UACGUAGGGUGCAAGCGUUGUCCGGAAUUAUUGGGCGUAAAGGGCUCGUAGGCGGUCUGUCGCGUCGGGAGUGAAAACUCAGGGCUUAACCCUGAGCCUGCUUCCGAUACGGGCAGACUAGAGGUAUGCAGGGGAGAACGGAAUUCCUGGUGUAGCGGUGAAAUGCGCAGAUAUCAGGAGGAACACCGGUGGCGAAGGCGCCACUCUGGGCCGAAACUGACGCUGAGGAGCGAAAGCGUGGGUAGCAAACAGG
rnacentral:rRNA from 1 species